rnacentral:rRNA from 1 species
GUAGGUGGCAAGCGUUGUCCGGAAUUAUUGGGCGUAAAGCGCGCGCAGGCGGUUCUUUAAGUCUGAUGUGAAAGCCCACGGCUCAACCGUGGAGGGUCAUUGGAAACUGGAGAACUUGAGUACAGAAGAGGAAAGCGGAAUUCCACGUGUAGCGGUGAAAUGCGUAGAGAUGUGGAGGAACACCAGUGGCGAAGGCGGCUUUCUGGUCUGUAACUGACGCUGAGGCGCGAAAGCGUGGGGAGCAAACAGGGAUUAGAUACCCUGGUAGUCCACGCCGUAAACGAUGAGUGCUAAGUGUUAGGGGUUUCCGCCCCCUUAGUGCUGCAGCUAACGCAUUAAGCACUCCGCCUGGGGAUACGGCCGCAAGGCUG